rnacentral:snoRNA from 1 species
AGCAAACACUCUGUGACAGAUUAUCAAAACAGUCUGUCACAAUUUGAGCUUGCUAUAGCAAGAAAGUCUAACCUAUUCCAGCACGCUCCUUUCUGUGAGACAAGCCGUUACAUAGACUGAAACAAG